CAGCACCUCAAGUGGUCAGGAUGGUUAUUGGGCCUAAAGCAUCCGUAGCCGGCGCUGUAAGUUUUCGGUUAAAUCUGUACGCUCAACGUACAGGCUGCCGGGAAUACUGCAGCGCUAGGGAGUGGGAGAGGUAGACGGUACUCGGUAGGAAGGGGUAAAAUCCUUUGAUCUAUUGAUGACCACCUGUGGCGAAGGCGGUCUACCAGAACACGUCCGACGGUGAGGGAUGAAAGCUGGGGGAGCAAACCGGAUUAGAUACCCGAGUAGUCC
rnacentral:rRNA from 1 species